rnacentral:rRNA from 1 species
UACAGAGGUCUCAAGCGUUGUUCGGAUUCAUUGGGCGUAAAGGGUGCGUAGGCGGCGCGGUAAGUCGGGUGUGAAAUCUCGGAGCUUAACUCCGAAACUGCAUUCGAUACUGCCGUGCUUGAGGACUGGAGAGGAGACUGGAAUUUACGGUGUAGCGGUGAAAUGCGUAGGAUAUCGUAAGGAAGACCAGUGGCGAAGGCGGGUCUCUGGACAGUUCCUGACGCUGAGGCACGAAGGUCAGGGGAGCAAACGGG